ensembl:lncRNA
GCGGAAGAUGGCCAGCUUUUCCUUAUAAUCCGCUGGAAGUUGCUGCGCUACCGUAGUCCUGGUCCGGAUGGAAAAAUGGCACCGUUUCAUAAAAAGUGAAAGUGAAACUGCUUUUAGCCGAAUGGUGACCGUCGAAACGCUUCUCCCGCUCGUUCUUUGCUCGAUGAUCCACCGCUCGAGUCUUUCCUCCAACUCGGACACACUUCACCCUUUAGCGUUCUCAUUGUGUUCUCUACUACGUCCUCAUUACAACACACAGGGCGCACUGCGCUAUAGGGCGCGCCGUACUUUUUGAAGAAAAUCUAAGACUUUUAAGUGCGCCUUAUGGUCGUGAAAAUACGGUAGAUCACAUGGAGGGUCGAUGGGCAGAGUUUUGAUCGAAGGUGCAGUUCUUUGGCAUUUAGAAGAAGGUCCUGAAACCUCCUCUCCCCUUGGAGUGCCAGUGAGGCUCUCCUUCAUAUCCUCAAGCCGGGUGAAGAUGAUAUACCUGGAGAAGCGGCCUCUCUCCUCCCCAGUGCUGCUUUUUGCUGGGACAACCAGCA